rnacentral:rRNA from 1 species
UACAGAGGUGGCAAGCGUUGUUCGGAAUUACUGGGCGUAAAGGGCGCGUAGGCGGAUUUGUUAGUCAGGGGUGAAAUCCCGGGGCUCAACCUCGGAACUGCCUUUGAUACUGCAAAUCUCGAGUCCGAUAGAGGUGGGUGGAAUUCCGAGUGUAGAGGUGAAAUUCGUAGAUAUUCGGAGGAACACCAGUGGCGAAGGCGGCUCACUGGUCCGGUACUGACGCUGAGGUGCGAAAGCGUGGGGAGCAAACAGG